AUAGAGUCAAGUGAAUAAGUGCAUCAGGUGGAUGCCUUGGCGAUGAUAGGCGACGAAGGACGUGUAAGCCUGCGAAAAGCGCGGGGGAGCUGGCAAUAAAGCUAUGAUCCCGCGGUAUCCGAAUGGGGAAACCCACCUCUUAGGAGGUAUCCUUAUCUGAAUACAUAGGAUAAGCGAAGCGAACCCGGAGAACUGAACCAUCUAAGUACCCGGAGGAAAAGAAAUCAACCGAGAUUCCGCAAGUAGUGGCGAGCGAACGCGGAGGAGCCUGUACGUAAUAACUGUCGAGAUAGAAGAACAAGCUGGGAAGCUUGACCAUAGUGGGUGAUAGUCCCGUAUUCGAAAUCUCAAUAGUGGUACUAAGCGUACGAAAAGUAGGGCGGGACACGUGAAAUCCUGUGUGAAUCUGCGGGGCCCAUCCCGUAAGGCUAAAUACUCCCGAGAGACCGAUAGUGAACCAGUACCGUGAGGGAAAGGUGAAAAGAACCUCGAACAGAGGAGUGCAAUAGAUCCUGAACCCGUCUGCCUACAAGCGGUAGGAGCAGCUUCGAGCUGUGACUGCGUGCCUUUUGCAUAAUGAACCUACG
rnacentral:rRNA from 1 species